CCAGUCAAGUGGAUGGAUUAUCUUGGCAAAGGAGAAAUGCUCACUAACAAGGAUGUGCACAAAAUGUAAGAGAAAUUUGCUUUUUAUGGGUAUUUAUUUCAGGUCAUGAAACAUGGGACCAACACUUAAGUUUAUAUUUUUGUUCAGUGCAGUAUUUGAACUUGCCUUUGAAAACUGAUAUUUUAAAUGACUAGGACCGUUCUACUGGCAGUAAUUAUGUGUGGUUUAGGCACCAUAGUUUUGGUUUGGUAUUGUAGAUGUGCAUGUUUAAACCUUGAAGACAAGGGCACUGGUGUCUGUGCUGCUUCUAUUGUUAGGUGAACCCAUUGUUCACCUAAUACCUUUUUUGCACUGUUGGUUAGAGCCUUUAAGUAAGCAUUUCACUGUAAGGUCUACACCUGUUUGUAUUUGGUGCACGUGACAAAUAAACUUUGAUUUGAUUCUAAUGUCCUCAGCUUUCACCCUCAUGAGUAUUGACCGAGACAAAGAGAGACAAGGAGUGGGGAAAGGGAGUGACUUGUACUUCUUUCACUCAGGAUUCAAAGUAUGUUGCCUGUAAAAACAAUUGGGCAAUGUUUAUAUGAUCCCCUUUUCAAACAGCCCCUUCUUUACCUAUUUCACCUUUUAUAGAGCCAUUACUUAGGCAGUGACCGAGCAAUAAACAUUCAACUUUGACCCUGUUGUUGCAACCGUUGUCAGGUAACCUGAAGCAGCGUUGAUCAAGUUGUAAAUUCCUCAAAUAGGACAGAAUGCAAUGCACUGCUUUCAUUUCUUCACAUCCACAAACAGGGAUCACUUUUUUUCCGUUGGCUUUUUCCACUGUGCCGCAGACACACACGGUGGAGAGGAUUGGAUUUGUGAAGAUACUGAUGGGGUUGCACAGCUGCACGGAGGGAGCAAAAGCCGAUUUCCCCCUCUGCACCUCCCCAUCCACACAACGGGACUACCGCCCCUCUCUUUCUCUCUCUCUCUCUCUCUCUCUCUCUCUCUCUCUUUCCGAGGAGUGGGGGUGGGGGCCGCCAUAUGGGAGCUCAGAAACAUGGAGUGGAUCCGAGGAGGGAGAGAGGGGAAUCUUUUUCCUCCUGGCGCUGGAUGUGGUGCUCUGUUCUGCAUAGUGAGAGGAAGAGAGUGAGAAAUGACCAUGGGUGACUACUUACCCUUAAAGGCACACGAUCAACAAGAGCAAAGAGGAGGAGGAGGUAGCGGAGGUGUAGGGGAGGGGGUGGCAGAAGGGAGGCCGUUCCUCAGACGGAGCAGGGCGCUCUCUUUUCGUCUCCCCUCAUCAUUGGUAUGCAGUGACUGUUUCCCAGGCGACAGGGCCACUGGGUUGGGGCUAAACUGACUGCAGGAGGAGAGUCAGGUCUACAGAGUAAAUGAGAGGAGAGCAAGACAGCAGGGAUCCCUACAGCCUACAGGAUAAGUUCAACCCAGCCAGACUGUGCUUGGGGAGCACUGGGGCCACACUGCAUAUAUCAUCCAUCAUUGGCCCAGGGGCUGCUGGGAAGGCAGCAGACAGCUCCUCGGCUUUGACGACGGGAGCUGCAUCCUAAUUCUCCAACUCGGAUCGCUCGGAACACUCACUCUCUACGCUCCUCCCCCGCCACCCAGGACGGAAAAUCGUUAACCCUGCAAUCUGGGAACAAAGCACAGAGCUUAGCCAGUCCACCAGAGCCUGCUGCUAGCAUCAUCUCUAUUACUCUUCAUAUUUAACAAUGUCUUACAGAUCACACAUUCAAUGAGAAUUGUGUUGUUACUGAGGUGAAAGAUAAGAAUUUUAAAAUCAGUAAUAAUGUGAAGCCAUGGUCAUAAAUGUCCUUUAGAUGGAUUAUUAUUAUACUGUAUUGCAUACGUCCUAAACUUCUAAUUGUUAAUAGCAUGCAUAUAGUCCAGAUGUUCUAAGAUACUCAGAAGACGCUAUUCAGUAAUUUAGGGCCCUCUUUAUACAAAGUUGUACAGUUCAUUUGCCUUGGUAUAGUAUUCCUAUACAUACAAGACAAAGGCCUUGUAUGUAUUACAAGACAAAAAAGGCAAACCUAUGUUUACAUUUAUAGGCUACCGCUUCAAUGUGUCAUGAACAUGUCACAUCGUGAGGUAACCAAUUAAUCAAAUCAUUCAUGAAUAACAUGAAAUCUCAAAAUGUAUCCUACUGUAAAAGUUCUGAAGCAGUUUGUUAUAUUUCAUCUACCUCACAAAGUAUGCAGGUAACAUUAACGACAUUAUACAGUUCUUGUUCUUCAGGCUGUUGAUUAAUUUUUAUGAAUAAUUGUUUAAUUUCUUUGAUAAACAAUUUCCAUUUGAA